rnacentral:rRNA from 1 species
GAUGAACGCUGGCGGUGUGCCUAAUACAUGCAAGUCGAGCGAAUGGAUUAAGAGCUUGCUCUUAUGAAGUUAGCGGCGGACGGGUGAGUAACACGUGGGUAACCUGCCCAUAAGACUGGGAUAACUCCGGGAAACCGGGGCGAAUACCGGAUAACAUUUUGAAACGCAUGGUUCGAAAUUGAAAGGCGGCUUCGGCUGUCACUUAUGGCUGGACCCGCGUCGCAUUAGCUAGUUGGUGCGGUAACGGCUCACCAAGGCAACGAUGCGUAGCCGACCUGAGAGGGUGAUCGGCCACACUGGGACUGAGACACGGCCCAGACUCCUACGGGAGGCAGCAGUAGGGAAUCUUCCGCAAUGGACGAAAGUCUGACGGAGCAACGCCGCGUGAGUGAUGAAGGCUUUCGGGUCGUAAAACUCUGUUGUUAGGGAAGAACAAGUGCUAGUUGAAUAAGCUGGCACCUUGACGGUACCUAACCAGAAAGCCACGGCUAACUACGUGCCAGCAGCCGCCGUAA